rnacentral:rRNA from 1 species
GACGUAGGGAGCGAGCGUUGUCCGGAAUUACUGGGCGUAAAGAGCUCGUAGGCGGGACCGUAAGUCCGAGAGGAAAUCUCAAGGCUCAACUUUGGGGCUUUCUUGGAUACUGCGGUUCUUGAGGAUGAGAGAGGUAAGUAGAAUUCCGAGUGUAGAGGUGAAAUUCGUAGAUAUUCGGAAGAACACCAGUGGCGAAGGCGACUUACUGGACACAUAUUGACGCUGAGGUGCGAAAGCGUGGGGAGCAAACAGG